AAAAAACACACUAGCCCAAUCCCCUUUUCCCCGUCGAGCAGAGGAGCGCCGGCGACGACGCCCGGGAGGUCGAGGGGGAGAUGGCAGAGAAGAGGAGUCCGGCAAGCCGGUCGGCGGGGGAUACAGAGCAGCCGCGCCGCCGUCUCCUCCCCCUCUUUCCAGGAUCUGGAGUUUGGGUCAGCUAACCGUCGCGGCUCCAUCGGGGACGGCCGCCACGGAGCCCACGCUGGAGGGCGAUAUGGUGCUCAGGUCAGCCCGCAGCGGCUCAUCCGUGUUGUCCGCCGGCACCAAGGGCCGAUCCGUCGCCUCCUCUUGCAACGGCCGCCCUGAAGCGGUGGUCUCGGGUUCGGGUAUGGCGCGAAGGUAACCCUGAAGGACCCGUGCGGGAAGCUGGACUGGUUCGGGUCGUUCGCGCAGACCGCGUCAAUCAGCUGCACCUGCGACGGCUUACCCGAGUGCCGCAUCGUGGGCUGUGUUCCUCGCUCGCUCGACGGCUCGCACCAACUUGAUUUGUGAGCUGUGUGUAGGUUGAUGUGUGCUUUGCUGUUCUUGUGUUUUUGCUGACACUGAAACUGAAACACGGUGCACACCAAACUUCAAAGCAAGUACACGAGAGCAACAACACAGCUUUUAAGAACAGGGGCCGUUGGGUUGCAGUUACAAGGGAGCGCUGAAAUUUCUCAUUUCUCAACAUACUCAAUCAUAGCUAACUACUGGGAUAGGAUUCAUCAUGUGUUCCCAGGACUUCAUGCAAUCUACACACUGAGAAAACAAAAUCAUGCCUAGGCAAAAAAGCUUUAUCACUUACUUCUCAGGUACAAUUCGGAUGAAAAAAACUUCAUUGUGAUCACCCAGGGAUUAGCUUGGUGCCUGCAAAAAGCUUUAUGUGGUUUGCCUACAUCACAAAAACAAUUUGCCUAAAGACUUGCUAAACUUUGCUUAACAGUUCUUGUCCCAAAAAGCAGGAGAUUUUUUUUGCUUUCUUGCUGAUUGCACUGAAUUUGCCCCAAAAAAUGGCACCAACAACUUGUUGUGUUUUUUUAUUACAAAUCAAAGUAGCCUGCGAAAAAACACAAACUUUUUGCCUGAUGAUUACACUUAAUUUGCCCCAAAACACACAAAUGUCACUUGCCUAUAUUUUUUGUUCUAGACAAAUGCAAUCUAAUAUGCAUGGAGGGAAGAUGCAUUCAUAACAACACAACAUUUACUCUUCAUGUUAUUUAUUUUGAAAGCCAACACUGCGCAAAGUCGUUUUCUCAGGUAAGCUAGAUCAUGUACGUGCCAUUUUGGAUUUCGCCCAUUACUACUGCUUCUGACUCAAUCCUUUGCAUGAAUGUGCAAUUCUCCAUAGCUCGAAGUCCAUAAGGUGCUCACCACUGGCGGAGCUGCGUUCUGCUUUUGGAACACCAAAUUUUCCCUUUCAGGUCAACUCGCAAGGAACAAGUGAUGACUCAAGGAUACCAGGAUAUCAUUUGUUGCAUACUGUGUUAUUAUUGACCAAAACUUGCCCAUCAUUUACUAGUUAAACUGUAGUUGCCCGAAAAUCUACGUGAUGGCCCAUUGAAUUAUGAAUUCUUUACCUGUGCAGUGAAGUUAGGCAAUCUGUAAAUAAAUUUGUACACUUUAUAUCAGUAGCAUUAUUUAAGCAGCAAAUUGUUGUGAUUUGCACACAAGUUGCAAUUGCCAAUGGAGUAAGUUGCCUCAAUAUAAAUAAUAC